rnacentral:rRNA from 1 species
UACGUAGGGGCCUAGCGUUGUCCGGAUUUAUUGGGCGUAAAGAGCUCGUAGGCGGUUCGGUAAGUCAGGUGUGAAAUCUCCACGCUCAACGUGGAGGCGCCACCUGAAACUGCCGUGACUCGAGUCCGGUAGGGGAGAGUGGAAUUCCUGGUGUAGCGGUGAAAUGCGCAGAUAUCAGGAAGAACACCCGUGGCGAAGGCGGCUCUCUGGGACGGUACUGACGCUGAGACGCGAAAGCGUGGGGAGCGAACAGG